CGCACACCCACAGAGCCCCCUGGCCAGGUCGGGGCAGAUUUGAGUUCCAGGGUCUCAAGAGGUUACUCCUUGCUUUGCCCAAAAGUUCUUCCUGCUGUCUAUUUUCUCUGCCGCCUUGAAUUCUUGGGAAGCGAACAGAGGACAGGCCGGUCCCCAGGCGGCACUGGCGCCUUUGGAUGAUGGAAUCCUUGGACCUGAGUGAGGAGGCCUAGGCCCACCUCUCCACAUGGAGCCCUCUGCCCCCUAACCAGACUACAUGUCAGGUGAAUGUCUGCACGUUCCCACACACAGCACCAGGUGCUCCGGACCAUGCUAGGCCCUGGGGCUUAAAAGAAGACUAAGGGUUUUUUCCUUCCCGUAGGAAGCUAGUAGCCUCAGUUUGCUCAUCUGUAAAAUGGGAAUAAUAAUGGUACUUACCACAUAAGGUUAUCGUGAGGAUUAAAUGAAAUACCAUGUAAAGUUCUUACCACAGAGCCUGGCAUAUGGUGGGUGCUCAAUAAGUGGCAGGUGUCAUUGUUAUAAGUGUUAAUAUUACUCUGGUGGGGGAGACUACACAUGGAGAAACACAUAUGUUGUGGACCGGACUGGACCUUCGCAAACUGAGUGGGUCCUGGCCUUGUAUGAAUUGGUGUUUGCCCCUGAACCUGCUGCUCCACCUCCGGCUCACCCCAGAGUAACCCCCAGGAUCCAGACGGACCCAUCCAUCUACCGGAGGGGACUCCAAGCCCCCAGGGAGAGGCAGGAAUGGUCGAACGUUCCCACUCUGUUACCUGGGUGCUUCUCGCCUCUCUGGGCUGUGAGCCGCCCCUGACCCCGCUCUUCCUUCCCCGGACCUGCAGCGGUGCUGGUGCAGAGGAGGUCUCAGCAAGCGUGGGAUAGGGACUUCAAACAUGGAUAAGGCAAAUUCCGUGCCAUCAAGAGAUGCUCACAGCCUCAAGGAAAAGUCGCACGUGAAAUAGACACUUGCAAUCCAGGGUGUUCAGGCAUUCCCUCUCUCAUCCGUGCACCAAACAUGUACCAAACAGGUCCUUGGCCUGAGCCCCUUCAGCCACGAGCACUGUUGUCUGUGGCAAAAUGGUGCAAGGAGCAAGAGCUUUGCAGUCAGACAGUUCUGAGCUCGAUACAGCCUUCUGGCUCCUGGUGGAAGCCACCCAGGGCUUUGCCCCUUGUGGCUGGGACUUCCUCUGGCUUGUUAGAGGGCCAGGAGCAAUGUCAAUUAGGGGUAAUGAGGUAACAGCCCGUCGGUGAGUGAGUUUCUAAGCAUCGAUUUCUCUUGCGGCUGCUGCCUCUCCAGUCAAAGCAGUUUUCUCAUUGUGUGGGCUUGGUCUCCUGGACACACACACAACACACACAUGAGACUGUGGGUCUUGGUACCUGGGUGUGUAGUAAGGGUUUGCUGUAUCUAUGGGUGCUCCGGGUGCAAAGAUAACCAGUGAAAUCAGCAGCAGCCCCAGGAAGGAGGUGGGUGUGGCCCUGAAGGUUCUGCCUUUCAUUGGCUCUGUCGGCUGGUUUUUGACUGAGAACGCACGGCCCUGUGGAUCAGGUUCACCCACGAAGGGUUAAUGCUGACUCCUCUGUCGCUCUUCGUCCCGAGGACCUGGGGAUUCUGAGCUGCUCGGUGAGCGUGGAGACAGACACACACAUAGAGAGUGACCUCCACACCAUCUUCCAGUGGGUCCAGAGGGGCAGGGCUGGAGCUAACGCGAGAGGCAACUAAGGAGAGAGGGACACCAGGGUCUUCUCCGAAGCUCUGCCUGCCCCACCUCCCGCUCCCCACUGUGGAAGCAACAGUCCCCUGCUCACCUCCCCAGAGAAGCCUUUGUGUGUAUCUGGGAAGUGCUUUGAAAUUCCGAGCGCUGAGAGGACUUCCACGCACUUUCCAGACAUGAAGGCCUGGGAGGCGGGAAGGUGCCUCCCGGGACUACUGCUCCCAGCUCUCGGUGAACACACCAAUGCUGAAACACCUUGGUCUUUCUCCUCUGUUCUGCAAGAAGCUUCCAACAAGGAGAGGAGAGGAAUGCUCCCCUACCCUCCAACGCACACACACCCCUCUAUAGGGACAGAGCAGCCUUCCCAGAUCACCCAGCCAGCUCAGUGCCACCCCAAAGAAGAAGACCCUGCCUGGGGGAUUUCAACAGGUCAACUUCCACCCAGCGGGAUUUGGGUCAGACUUGAGGAAGGACUUCCUGAAUGGGCUGACCCUGCCGCCAGGAUUAUAUCACCGAGGAGGAAGACAGGAUGCCCUCCUCCAGAGAUGGUGACGAAUGUGCAACACACUCAGUAUCCAUCAGGAGGCCUAAGGCACAGGCCCACUGGUAUGGCUGUUUGGCGUCUGAGUCAGUUCCACAGAAUCGCGCUCCCACCAACACAAAGAUGGGGAAACUGAGGCAACCAUUUGUCCAAGACCACUCAGUAAGCGAGUGGAGAUGCCAGGAUUCAAGCCCAGGGACUCCGACUCCAGAGGCAGCCUCGUGGUGAACAAUGGAGCAUCGGUGUGGAGGCAGGAGCAUGCCUGGGGCGACCUCCCGCGGGCCCUCCUAAAGGCCCCCACAGCGAGCUUUAGGUUUCCGCAUAGUGGAGAUGCUACAUGAGGUGACAGAUGCCACCACCGUCCCUGCCUUCAGGUGGAGGUGGGAGGACUGAUCUGAAGGCUUUCUUGGACACAGGACUUCUUGGGACCCUGGAGAUCAUAUGGCCACAUGGUCCAUCUCAGCCGGGAUGGGAAGGCAGGUGCCCUGCGCCCAGCCAGGCCUGGACCCACCUGUCUCUCAGCUGCGUCCCUCAUUAGAUUAGCAAAUGGGGAGGCAGCGGAGGGCUGCUUUAUCUGAUGGGAGCCCCACUCAGGCCCCCUCCCCCGGAAAAGCCUCAUUACCAGGGCCCCAGCCCCUGGCUCUGCCAUGCCUGUUUACUCUGUCAUAAGAACAACAGGACUCAGCAAGACUUCAAAGGGAGUCUCCCGGUGGUGCGUGUGCCGGGAGGGAAGGAGGGAGGGAGAGUGGGCAGAGAGAGAACAGAAAGGACCAAGCGGGUGGGGGCCAGUGCUCAGGACCUGGGGCCCUGCUCUGAGAGGGUGAGCGCCCUCUGCUGGCAGGGAUGGAGCACUGAGGCAGCGCUGCCCCGCCCCUGCCUCUGCCCCUGCCCCA
ensembl:lncRNA